GAUGAACGCUGGCGGCGUGCCUAAUACAUGCAAGUCGAGCGGAAAGGCCCCUUCGGGGGUACUCGAGCGGCGGACGGCUGAGUAACACGUAGGAACGUACCCCAAAGUGAGGGAUAAGCACCAGAAAUGGUGUCUAAUACCGCAUGUGCUCUAAGGAGUAAAGCUUCGGCGCUUUGGGAACGGCCUGCGCAUGAUUAGCUUGUUGGUGAGGUAAUAGCUCACCAAGGCGACGAUCAUUAGCUGGUCUGAGAGGAUGACCAGCCAGACUGGAACUGAGAACGGUCCAGACUCCUACGGGAGGCAGCAGUAGGGAAUAUUGCACAAUGGGCAAAAGCUUGAUGCAGCAACGCCGCGUGAGCGAUGAAGGCCUUCGGGUCGUAAAGCUCUGUCCUCAAGGAAGAUAAUGACGGUACUUGAGGAGGAAGCCCCGGCUAACUACGUGCCAGCAGCCGCGGUAA
rnacentral:rRNA from 1 species